rnacentral:lncRNA from 1 species
UUCUUAUCAGUGUAAGCACUUAGUGAGUUACACUUGUUCCAAGCCUAUCUCACGGUUAUCCCAGUUCUUUUCCUGAGGACUCUUCUUUCCACUUGGGCUAUUUUCAAUUAGAACUUUGUUUCUUCUUCAGGUUGCAAAGAAGAAUGUAAUCUUGUAGAGUACCUUGCCUUCCCUUCCAUACAUUCAGCAGACAUAGUUCCUUUAAGGGAUUUUACUGCUAGGAGAAUUUCAUAGGUCAUAUUCCCAUGUUACUGCUUCACAGGUAUUUACUUAUUUACUUACUUAUCACAGAAAUCCUUUAGGGGAAAGAGACAAUAAUGAUGGGAUGUUGUAAAUUUUUGGAAGUAGAGAGGUUCGGAUUGUGAAGAGGAGAUGAGAUAAAUAGUAAGUGGCACUGCAAAGAGAAAGGGAGAUUUUUCUCUACUAGUAGAAGUGGCUUAUGAAGAAGGAACUUCAACAAGCUGUUCUGCUCCAUUUUAUAAAUGUAUGAUUAUAGAUUGCCAAUAGUUAAUGCCGUGAGUACUUGAUACUGUAAGGCUAUGGCUGUUUUUAAAGUAAGAUUAAUACUUUUAUCUUUGUGAUAAGUAAUUAGAAGCCCUUUGAAAUACUAAUCUAAAUUAUUUGUUUAUAUAGCUAUCUUAUGUCUGCCCUUUACACAGCGCUUAGCUGAUUUUUGUUAUCUUUUACCUGGUGAUUGCCACCAUUUGCCCCAAUGUGCUGAACCACUUAGAAAAAGCAAUGCCAUAGUUUCCUGCUUUCUUUUUCUAAAAGAAAAAGUCAUACAGCAAGGUUCUGUUACUGAAGCCAAAACUUCAUUAACUUGAUUAUUAUUGAGUAUUUUUGUUAUUUCUGGAGAUUUUGGGCCUUUUUACAAUGAAUAUAAAUGAUCAAAUUCUUAUGGUUUAUGGGGAUAUGUAUUUAAGUAUUCGUGUUCCAUAACUAGAACCAUUUGUUUCUGCAUUCGCCCUUGGUCAAGAGAGAAAGCAUGACAUUUUUUUCUUGAAAGGUUUGUUUUUAUUGAUGGUUAAAUUUAUUACUAGAAUUUUAUUUGUUUAAAUUAAUGCAUACUUACUCCUUCCUCCCUUCCUCUGUGAGAUUAAUUAACAUCAGGACAAUGAAGCUUCAUUGUAUCAGUUAUUACUAGACAGUUUAGUUGUUUGGGUAGGAUAUUGCGUGUCGAAUAUAGCAGUCUUUUCUUAUCACAAUCUUUACGAAAAAGUAGAAAAGAGCCUGGAUAACUGGAAUUAGAAAUAAUUGCCAACAAAAUAUGUUUUCUAGUCAAUAGGGACAGAUAAGCACGCUUUAAAAACAUUCAUUGUACUGCAGGUCAUAACUUUAAUUGAGACAUUUAGUUCUUGAUGAUUAAAACUAUUUUCUAAUUUGAUUUCAACUAACAUUUACUGAAUGCUUAUUCUUGAUUUUAAUAGAGAGCUUCCCACUUAAUCAUUCUUAUCAGAAGUGUUUAAUGUCAUCAUAGUUCUUUCUCUUGAUAGCCACUGAAAAGAAAAUGUUCAGGUUAUAAAGAAAAUGAAUCAUUU